GUAAGGAAUAUUGGACAAUGGGGGCAACCCUGAUCCAGCCAUGCCGCGUGAAGGAUGACGGCCCUCUGGGUUGUAAACUUCUUUUGUACGGGAAUAAACCCCUCUACGUGUAGAGGGUUGAAUGUACCGUAAGAAUAAGGAUCGGCUAACUUCGUGCCAGCAGCCGCGGUAAUACGAAGGAUCCAAGCGUUAUCCGGAUUUAUUGGGUUUAAAGGGUGCGUAGGCGGGCUAUUAAGUCAGUGGUGAAAGCCUGCAGCUUAACUGCAGAAUUGCCAUUGAUACUGAUGGUCUUGAGUACACUUGAGGUGGGCGGAAUGUGUCAUGUAGCGGUGAAAUGCUUAGAUAUGACACAGAACACCGAUUGCGAAGGCAGCUCACUAAAUUGUAACUGACGCUGAGGCACGAAAGCGUGGGGAUCAAACAGGAUUAGAAACCCUGGUAGUCC
rnacentral:rRNA from 1 species